rnacentral:miRNA from 1 species
CGCUCCUCCUUUGGACAGCUAUCCU